rnacentral:rRNA from 1 species
GUGUCAGCAGCCGCGGUAAUACGUAGGGGGCAAGCGUUGUCCGGAAUUACUGGGCGUAAAGGGCGUGUAGGUGGGAAUUUAAGUCAUGGGUGAAAACUGCGGGCUCAACCCGGAGAUUGCCUAUGAAACUGGAUUUCUUGAGGGCAGGAGAGGAAAGUGGAAUUCCUAGUGUAGCGGUGAAAUGCGUAGAUAUUAGGAGGAACACCAGUGGCGAAGGCGACUUUCUGGACUGACCCUGACACUGAGGCGCGAAAGCUAGGGGAGCGAACGGGAUUAGAUACCCCGGUAGUCCUAGCCGUAAACGAUGGGCACUAGGUGUGGGAGGUAUCGACCCCUUCCGUGCCGCAGUUAACGCAAUAAGUGCCCCGCCUGGGGAGUACGGCCGCAAGGUUGAA